UCGUAACAAGGUCUCCGUAGGUGAACCUGCGGAGGGAUCAUUACACAAUAAAAUACGAAGGCCGUUCGCGGCUGGACUAUUUAUUACCCUUGUCUUUUGCGCACUUGUUGUUUCCUGGGCGGGUUCGCUCGCCACCAGGACCACAAUAUAAGCCUUUUUUAUGCAGUUGCAAUCAGCGUCAGUAUAACAAAUGUAAAUCAUUUACAACUUUCAACAACGGAUCUCUUGGUUCUGGCAUCGAUGAAGAACGCAGCGAAAUGCGAUACGUAGUGUGAAUUGCAGAAUUCAGUGAAUCAUCGAAUCUUUGAACGCACAUUGCGCCCUUUGGUAUUCCAAAGGGCAUGCCUGUUCGAGCGUCAUUUGUACCCUCAAGCUUUGCUUGGUGUUGGGCGUUUUUGUCCCCUCCCAAAAAGGGGACUCGCCUUAAAAGGAUUGGCAGCCGGCCUACUGGUUUCGCAGCGCAGCACAUUUUUGCGCUUGCAAUCAGCAAAAGAGGACGGCAAUCCAUCAAGACUCCUUCUCACGUUUGACCUCGGAUCAGGUAGGGAUACCCGCUGAACUUAAGCAUAUC
rnacentral:misc_RNA from 1 species